GUCCAUGACCAUACCACACUGAACUCACCAGAUCUGUUCUAAUCUCAGAAGCUAAACAGGGUUCGGCCUGUUUAGUAUUUGGAUGGAAGAGAAGGUUCUCCUAAACC
rnacentral:rRNA from 1 species